rnacentral:rRNA from 1 species
UACUUCCUACGGGACGCAGCAGUGGGGAAUAUUGGGCAAUGGACGCAAGUCUGACCCAGCAACGCCGCGUGAAGGAAGAAGGCUUUCGGGUUGUAAACUUCUUUUAAGGGGGAAGAGUAGAAGACGGUACCCCUUGAAUAAGCCACGGCUAACUACGUGCCAGCAGCCGCGGUAAUACGUAGGGGGCAAGCGUUAUCCGGAUUUACUGGGUGUAAAGGGGGCGCAGACGGCAGCGCAAGCCAGGAGUGAAAGCCCGGGGCCCAACCCCGGGACUGCUCUUGGAACUGCGCGGCUGGAGUGCAGGG